rnacentral:rRNA from 1 species
GAUGAACGCUGGCGGCGUGCCUAAUACAUGCAAGUCGAGCGAACAGACGAGGAGCUUGCUCCUCUGACGUUAGCGGCGGACGGGUGAGUAACACGUGGAUAACCUACCUAUAAGACUGGGAUAACUUCGGGAAACCGGAGCUAAUACCGGAUAAUAUAUUGAACCGCAUGGUUCAAUAGUGAAAGACGGUUUUGCUGUCACUUAUAGAUGGAUCCGCGCCGCAUUAGCUAGUUGGUAAGGUAACGGCUUACCAAGGCAACGAUGCGUAGCCGACCUGAGAGGGUGAUCGGCCACACUGGACCUGAGACACGGUCCAGACUCCGACGGGAGGCAGCAGUAGGGAAUCUUCCGCAAUGGGCGAAAGCCUGACGGAGCAACGCCGCGUGAGUGAUGAAGGGCUUCGGAUCGUAAAACGCUGUUAUUAGGGAAGAACAAAUGUGUAAGUAACUAUGCACGUCUGGACGGUACCUAAUCAGAAAGCCACGGCUAACUACGU